rnacentral:lncRNA from 1 species
CUAAUUUGCUAUCGCGAUCGAACUUCGCCUUUCUGGCGAAACUGCGAUCUUUUAUUUACGUCUGCCCUGCUACUGGACUUCUACCCAAAGAUGCAGCAAAAAUGGUCAAACGCCUGAAGCAAUUGACAAAGCAAAAGGAGAAUGAUGAAAUUGUUCCAUGCAAAAAGGUGGACAUAGGCGGAGGUGUCCUCGUUGAAGAAGGGAUAAUAAACCAACUCACCACGUCCUGCCAUGGUGGGCCAGGAA